GAUAGUAGUGGAAAUCCUUUUGUUUGACAAAGGAUUUUGUUUUUAGGUGCUAUGUUACUCCAAACAAAAGAUUGCAGCGGAUAGCCCGACCGA
rnacentral:sRNA from 1 species